rnacentral:rRNA from 1 species
AUGUCCUACGGGGCGCAGCAGUGGGGAAUAUUGCACAAUGGAGGAAACCCUGAUGCAGCGACGCCGCGUGAGUGAAGAAGUAUCUCGGUACGUAAAGCUCUAUCAGCAGGAAAGAAAAUGACGGUACCUGACUAAGAAGCCCCGGCUAACUACGUGCCAGCAGCCGCGGUAAUACGUAGGGGGCAAGCGUUAUCCGGAUUUACUGGGUGUAAAGGGAGCGUAGACGGCGCUGCAAGUCCGGAGUGAAAGCC